rnacentral:rRNA from 1 species
AGAGUUUGAUGGUGGCUCAGAACGAACGCUGGCGGCAGGCUUAACACAUGCAAGUCGAACGAUAUAGUGGCAGACGGGUGAGUAACGCGUGGAAACGUGCCUUUCACUACGGAAUAGCUUUUGGAAACGAAAGGUAAUACCGUAUACGCCCUCCGGGGGAAAGAUUUAUCGGUGAAAGAUCGGUCCGCGUUAGAUUAGCUAGUUGGUGAGGUAACGGCUCACCAAGGCUACGAUCUAUAGCUGGUCUGAGAGGAUGAUCAGCCACACUGGAACUGAGACACGGUCCAGACUCCUACGGGAGGCAGCAGUGGGGAAUAUUGCACAAUGGGCGCAAGCCUGAUGCAGCCAUGCCGCGUGAAUGAUGAAGGCCUUAGGGUUGUAAAAUUCUUUCGCCAGGGAUGAUAAUGACAGUACCUGGUAAAGAAGCCCCGGCUAACUUCGUGCCAGCAGCCGCGGUAAUACGAAGGGGGCUAGCGUUGUUCGGAAUUACUGGGCGUAAAGCGCACGUAGGCGGACUUUUAAGUCAGAUGUGAAAUCCCGAGGCUCAACCUCGGAACUGCAUUUGAAACUGGGAGUCUAGAGAUCAGGAGAGGUUAGCGGAAUACCGAGUGUAGAGGUGAAAUUCGUAGAUAUUCGGUGGAACACCAGUGGCGAAGGCGGCUAACUGGACUGAUACUGACGCUGAGGUGC